rnacentral:rRNA from 1 species
UGGGGAAUAUUGGACAAUGGGGGCAACCCUGAUCCAGCCAUGCCGCGUGAGUGAUGAAGGCCUUCGGGUUGUAAAGCUCUUUUGGCGGGGACGAUGAUGACGGUACCCGCAGAAUAAGCCCCGGCUAACUUCGUGCCAGCAGCCGCGGUAAGACGAAGGGGGCUAGCGUUGUUCGGAAUUACUGGGCGUAAAGCGAGUGUAGGCGGUUGCCGUAGUCAGGUGUGAAAGCCUUGAGCUCAACUCAAGAAAUGCACUUGAUACUGGGUGACUAGAGGACCGGAGAGGAUAGUGGAAUUCCCAGUGUAGUGGUGAAAUACGUAGAGAUUGGGAAGAACACCAGUGGCGAAGGCGGCUAUCUGGACGGUUACUGACGCUAAGACUCGAAAGCGUGGGGAGCAAACAGGAUUAGAUACCCUGGUAGUCCACGCCGUAAACGAUGGGUGGCUAGACGUUGGCGAGCUUGCUCGUCAGUGUCGCAGCUAACGCGUUAAGCACCCCGCCUGGGGAGUACGGCCGCAAGGUUGAAACUC